rnacentral:rRNA from 1 species
UACGAGGGGAGCAAGCGUUGUUCGGAAUCAUUGGGCGUAAAGGGCGCGUAGGCGGCAGUACAAGUCUGGGGUGAAAGCCCUCGGCUUAACCGAGGAAUUGCCUUGGAAACUGUACAGCUUGAGUAUUGGAGAGGAAAGCGGAAUUCCCAGUGUAGCGGUGAAAUGCGUAGAUAUUGGGAGGAACACCGGUGGCGAAGGCGGCUUUCUGGACAAUCACUGACGCUGAGGCGCGAAAGCCAGGGGAGCAAAC